rnacentral:pre_miRNA from 13 species
UGCAUAUGGUGGCACCAAGCAUGAGGUUACAACUGCAUUACUUGCAAGGGAAUCACAAGUCACAAGAAACACAUGUUAUUACAAUGGAUAAUCAAUGGGUCAUCAUACUAUGACUUUCUUGCAAGUUGUGCAGUUGUUGCCUCAAGCUUGCUGCCUCCGUCUGUC